GAAAUGCGAUACGUAAUGUGAAUUGCAGCUCCGCGAAUCAUCAAAUCUUUGAACGCACAUUGCGCCCUUUGGCACUCCAGAGGGCAUGUCUGUUUGAGAACCUUGACGUCCCUCACAAUCCCCCUCUCCAUUUCUUGGUUUGGGUGUGCGUGGAUGUGGGCUGUCCUCGCCUUCACGGGCGGGGUUGCCUGAAAUUGAAGAUCGGCUCAUGCCAAGUCCAUGACCAAGACGUGAUAGUAUGGGCAACCAUUUCAGACGUCGAUAAACCUUGGGCCGGGCGCAAAGUGUCGACUCAACCGUCGCCAGGCGCGUCGCUUUUCUUGAGCGUUGCGAAGACCUGAACUCCUGGUCUCAAAUCAGACAAGACUACCCGCUGAACUUAA
rnacentral:misc_RNA from 1 species